UACCCCAACAAUGGGCAAAGAGAGACCUCAUUGAUGGUGGUGUCCUUAUAUCAAUCAGGAGCACAGAGCCGGUGGCAGUCCUUUGUUCAUCCCAGCUUGAUGUCUGGUGUGGCAGCCAAAGCUGUUUUAUGGAUAGGACACAUGA